GUCGACAAUACUUCAGAGAAUCAUUUCUAUAGUAUUCGACCCUCUCUUGGUUCCCUAAAGGAGCCACAGAUCCCACCCUGGUUGAUGAUUUAUAUCCUCGACACCCUAGAGUGAAGAAACUCUGGUUGCCCUCGAAUCCCGCGCAAGCAGGACGGUUGCGCCCUCGUGGCGCAGCUGUAUAGAGGGCGUUUGAUGAUCUCGUCCCCGUCCGUGGUCUUGCCUUCGCGGCGCGCGGUCGGGGUGGGUGUUGACGGACGUCUGACAGGC
rnacentral:snoRNA from 1 species